UACGGGGGGGGCAAGCGUUGUUCGGAAUUACUGGGCGUAAAGGGCUCGUAGGUGGCCGACUAAGUCAGACGUGAAAUCCCUCAGCUUAACUGGGGAACUGCGUCUGAUACUGGAUGGCUUGAGUUUGGGAGAGGGAUGCGGAAUUCCAGGUGUAGCGGUGAAAUGCGUAGAUAUCUGGAGGAACACCGGUGGCGAAGGCGGCAUCCUGGACCAACACUGACACUGAGAAGCGAAAGCCAGGGGAGCAAACGGG
rnacentral:rRNA from 1 species